rnacentral:sRNA from 1 species
ACAAUAUAUUACUACUAUCUCCACUACACUAUAAACUAUCUUCUACUGUUACUCUUCACACUGUCACUACACCUCACACUGCUGCUGCUGUGUCUAAAAGACUUUACAGUGAAUGAAGAGGGAUAACUCUCUCAGUUGAUUCAAGAACUGUCCAUGCUUCUAACAGCAGAGAAAGAAUAGAUGAGAUAGACAAAAGAAAAGAGAAAAAAUGAAUGUUCUGAAAAGAAAAAUAAAGAAAAGAGUGAAGAAAAGACUGUGUCUUCUGUGACAUCUUGCAGUCAUAUAAUCUGACACAAAUCUGAAGA